rnacentral:rRNA from 1 species
GAUGAACGCUGGCGGCGUGCCUAAUACAUGCAAGUCGAGCGAACGGACGAGAAGCUUGCUUCUCUGAUGUUAGCGGCGGACGGGUGAGUAACACGUGGAUAACCUACCUAUAAGACUGGGAUAACUUCGGGAAACCGGAGCUAAUACCGGAUAAUAUUUUGAACCGCAUGGUUCAAAAGUGAAAGACGGUCUUGCUGUUACUUAUAGAUGGAUCCGCGCUGCAUUAGCUAGUUGGUAAGGUAACGGCUUACCAAGGCAACGAUGCAUAGCCGACCUGAGAGGGUGAUCGGCCACACUGGAACUGAGACACGGUCCAGACUCCUACGGGAGGCAGCAGUAGGGAAUCUUCGGCAAUGGGCGAAAGCCUGACGGAGCAACGCCGCGUGAGUGAUGAAGGUCUUCGGAUCGUAAAACUCUGUUAUUAGGGAAGAACAUAUGUGUAAGUAACUGUGCACAUCUUGACGGUACCUAAUCAGAAAGCCACGGCUAACUACGUG